rnacentral:rRNA from 1 species
GACGGAGGAUGCAAGCGUUAUCCGGAAUUAUUGGGCGUAAAGCGUCCGUAGGCGGUUUCAAAAGUCUGUUGUUAAAGCUCACAGCUCAACUGUGGAUCGGCAAUGGAAACUGUGAGACUAGAGAGUGGUAGGGGUAGAGGGAAUUCCUAGUGUAGCGGUGAAAUGCGUAGAUAUUAGGAAGAACACCAGUGGCGAAGGCGCUCUACUGGGCCAUUACUGACGCUGAUGGACGAAAGCUAGGGGAGCGAAAGGG